GUUUCACAGGGUGGGGGUUUUGUUCUUUUGCCCUUUGCAGUAAAUCUUGCUGCUACUAACUCUUUGGGUCCACGCUGCCUUUGUGAGCUUUAACACUCACCACGAAGGUCUGCAGCUUCACUCCUGAAGCCAGCGAGACCACGAACCCACACUGAAGGAAGGAAACUCGGAACACAUCCGAACAUCAGAAGGAACAAACUCGACACGUUGCCUUUAAGAACUGUGACACUCACCGCGAGGGUCGGCGUCUCCAUUCUUGAAGUCAGUGAGACCAAGAACCCACCAACCAAUUCCGGACACAAUCUCAGCACUGUGGGAGACUGAGGCACCUGCCAAACCUGCACAGAUUCCUACAGCAGCCAGUUCGCUCUGUCUCGAGGCUUCAGAGGAACACGAACUUCUCUGAUGGAAGAGCCUUGUUCUAGAAGGGAGUGAAGCCUAGGUCUUUCCUGAGCACACAGAAGAUCAAGACCACACUCACUGACUUCUCAUAGUCAAGCAAUUUUGGCCAAUUAAAUGUCAGUUGGAAACUCCUGUGUCAGCUUCUCUGUGGCGGUGAGAAGUCCCUGUGUGACAUCCCAACUCUCCCCUCACCUGCGUUGGCAACCAAGAAAGCCUUGUGUUGGAGGUGGGGCCACAAGUUUAAAGCUAAGUUACCACCUCGAGGGCACAUUCCUGGAGAGCUUCCCAGGCCCACAGUGGCACGUGUAUGAGUGACAGAUCCACUUCUUUAUUACCUUUUUGAAGAACAGGAACCUUUGUCUGGAAAUUCCACAAGUAUGCCUUUUGCAAGAUUAAAAGUGCCACAAAGAACAAAAAUGAGCCCAGGACCAGAUGCAUGUUAAAAGCCAUCAGACACGUUAAGUUUCAUCUCCAUUGACCUGCAGAAGGAGUCUCUCACCACAGCCACCACAUCUAUGCAUGUGCUGAGUCACAUGUGAAGCCAGCACAUCUCAGAGUCUCACCGAAAGCUCAUGGUGAGACAAAGAGACUAGAAGGGGUAGAGUCAGCUAACUUCUCUCCUCCCACCACUGAUGAGGUUUUGGUGAAUUCUCUUCCCUUGCUCAUAAGCCACUGGCCUAGACAAGAAGCAACUCUGCACUGCUUUUCAAACAUCAUCCUCCCUCUCGACCGCAGGGACUAUUUGGUUUCUAUUCUACUUCUGGCCUUUCAUAUUCCUGAUGGUGCAUUGGAUGAAACCCCGCAGCCAGGCGUGUGAACGUGGUUGAAAAGACCCAUGGAGGACCAGCAACGCUUCCCCACAGCGUGGGAUGGUCCCCUCCUGAGAUGGCCCACUGUCAGCGGGACUGACGCCAAGCACUGCAUCCUGUCUGCUUCUUGAACAGCCCCUUCAUUGUUUGUUCAGCUAUUCUGCUGCAUCUGCAGAUAGCCCUGCCUGAGAAACAGCCUCAAACCAGAAGGAGAGGAUGGCGGCAAGCCUUAGAGAAACAUCAAAAUUUGCUAUUAAGAAAAUAGUGAAGAAGUCUCAUCAGAGAGAAGUUAAAAGCAUACUAGUGGAUUCCUUGGGGCUGCAGAAAGAGUAGCAAAAAGUUGGAGAAAACAUCAACUACACCAAAGGAAUUUUAGGAGCUUGGUCCCCAGCAAAGCUCAUGGAAUCUCUCUCUGCAAGGAAGAGUCAGUUUUAAAAGCCCUCAGCCUGCUCUCAAUGGGUCCUGCCUCCUUCCCUGCCUGCACCCCAACACUGGGGAAAGGAGAAACCUCCGUUAGCAAGUUGGAGAAAAGGAGUUGAGGAAGGAAGAGGAUAGCCCGGCCCCCUCCCUGACUGCAGGUUUUUCUUUUUCUUUUUAACAGUGGAUUCUAGCGAGGGGAGGGCAAAUCCCUGAAACCUUGAAUGAAGUUGGAAGCCUUUACUAGUUUGUGUGUUUGGAAUUCUAAGUAGAAAUUGAGACUGUGUUUUGUGACUCAAAUGACUAAGAUUUUCUGUUACCUACGAGUGGCCAAAAUGUCAAGUAUUCAUCCGGGGGCAGGGUGAAAACUAGACCUACUGAGAAAGUUAAAAGACAAGGGGAAAACACAAUAAACCUGCUGUAUUUUUACCUCCAAAGUGUCCAUUCAAUUUACUGGCUGUAGUAGUUUGAAAGCAAGGUUCUGUGAUAUCAUUCCAGAGUUGAGAGUAACAAAAGCUGAUAAUUGUAAAUGCAGCACUAUCCAAUGGAAAUAUAAUGCAAAUUAUAUGCGUGACUUAACAUUUUUU
rnacentral:lncRNA from 10 species